rnacentral:rRNA from 1 species
AACGAACGCUGGCGGCAUGCCUAACACAUGCAAGUCGAACGAUCCCUUCGGGGCUAGUGGCGCACGGGUGCGUAACGCGUGGGAACCUGCCCUUAGGUUCGGAAUAACUCAGAGAAAUUUGAGCUAAUACCGGAUAAUGUCUUCGGACCAAAGAUUUAUCGCCUUUGGAUGGGCCCGCGUUGGAUUAGCUAGUUGGUGGGGUAAAGGCCUACCAAGGCGACGAUCCAUAGCUGGUCUGAGAGGAUGAUCAGCCACACUGGGACUGAGACACGGCCCAGACUCCUACGGGAGGCAGCAGUGGGGAAUAUUGGACAAUGGGCGAAAGCUUGAUCCAGCAAUGCCGCGUGAGUGAUGAAGGCCUUAGGGUUGUAAAGCUCUUUUACCCGGGAUGAUAAUGACAGUACCGGGAGAAUAAGCCCCGGCUAACUCCGUG